CAUCGGAAUAAAAUGUGAUUUUUUCCAAUUUUCAAUUUGAUAUAAUUCAAUUAACGGUUUUAUACUGCACCGGUUCGAUUCUGAACACGUGCAAUAACAAGCAUCCAUCCAUGGCAAUUAGGAGUUUCCUACAGCAGACAUAUCGCUGAUCUUACACUGCGGAGGAGAAGGAAUCUGAAGCAGCCAAAAUUGGUUACAAACUAUAGGAAAAUGAUGAUAAUGUUUUCAAACCCUAUAAGCUUGUUUUUGCUGUUGUUCAGGACUUCAGGCAUUUCGUAGACAUUGAUUAACCCUCUGAGACAAGAAAGAGAAAUAAUGCUGAAGAUGAUCUGUGAAGUACAUAAUCAUUAAACUCAAAUGAUAGUCACUGAAAAAAGACAUUACAGAAGCCUAACCUACCUGCAAACCGAAGAGGUACCACCAUGACCCAACAACAUGGCCAGAUAGCAUAAAGGUAAAAAGAUUUAUGAAGAAACUCGCCCACGCUGACUCGAAUAUGAAUCCGGUUGGAGAAAUUAGCAUAGGGAGAAAUCUACACAAUCUAGGAAUGUACUGAGCAAGGAUGACAGCACGCAAAAGAUUCUUUGCAUAAUUUGCUCCUGAUGUUCCCAAGUGUUUUGGUAUGACAAACAAUAUCAUUAUCUGCGACAAAUACAUCACUGCAUAUUAUUAGUUUUUGAAAA